rnacentral:lncRNA from 1 species
GCAGAGGCCCACAAAGUGGGAGAUCCCGCGGGUUGCGUAGGCGGUGGAACAGAAGCUAGAGACAGAGACCAGCCAAUGGAGAGCCGCGCGCGGGAUGACGAUAUAGCUGCAGCAAGCCAAUGGGAAGGCUUGUGAGCGUGCACUACGGCUUUGAGGGCGGUGCCAAGGCGGAGCUAGCCAAUAGGAAGGCUAAAAGGAGACCAAGAGGCGGGAGUGUCAGCGGCCACGGAGGUCUGAAGCCAGUCUUGUAGAGGGCUGGAGUGGACGUUGGACAACUAGAACCCUGGGCUUUGCAGGGUGCUGGCAGCUGGAAGUCUCCACCAUGGCCUGUCAGGAGAAGCCCCUGGGGGCUGGUCUACCAUGCUGGCCAGUGGUUGGAUAGAGUGCCUGCUGAGGUCAAGAAAUGCAGCCGCCAAUUCCCGGACAACCUAAAAACCUCACAAGCUUCAAGUCUCCAAGGACUCUCCAAAUCCCAGGAUCUCCCUGUCAUCACAUCCUAGAAUUUAAAACCUGAGACCAUCGAGUUCAGGAAAACUUGGGGAUUUCAAAGCCCAGCACCAAAGAAAGCGGGACCCACACUCGCCAGCUCUGUGAUCUUGGGCAAGUUGCUUGACUACUUAUACCUCCAUUUUCCUCAUCUGUAUAACAGCAAUACAAUAAUAAUGAGAUGGAGCUCAAGGGGCCAUGGUGAGGUUUGAACAUGAUCACUUGUGAGACAUGUUCAGCACUGUAUCUGACCCAUGGAAAAUUCAAGAUAAACAUCAGCUACUGAGAUGAUGGCGGAUAUUUGGAAUCCUAAAUCCUUGGAAUCUGGGGCUUUUCAAAGCAAAAGAUCCCAAAGGCUGAGGGCCUCAGAAGGAUCAGGCCAUGACGUUCCUGAAACAAGAGGGUCAGGGUCCCAGUGGGCCUCUGGGCUUCUUCGUGAGGAUGGAUGCAUUAAUACUGGGGACCUGCUAGGGACCUUCGCAGUGGGACAGUGGCUGGGUCAGGGCACUCAAGCCCUAAAACGUGAUGAGGCAAGACUUUUCUCUCUUUCUUCAUUCAGUAACUAUCAGUAGAUUCUGGAAGCCAGGGAUUCUCCGACUCUUCGAUUCCCUGAAUUGUAGGGGAUGACGGUGGACUCUCCACUUUCUUCUCCAUGAAGUAACUUACAUGCCCCUCACCCUCUGUGGGAGGGGUGUUGCAGGGGGUCCAGAACUCCCCUCGCUGGGUAGUUUGAGCAGUGGGGACCAUAUCAAUUUCAUCUAUGGGGAAACUGAGGCCUGGAGCACGGCAAGGCCUCUGGGAACCCAGCCCUAUUCUGUCUCUUUCACUGGCAUUUCCCAUCCACACAUAGAGCUUCAGAUUCUCUCUUUCUUUCCCCAGAGACCCUCAAAUAUCUUCUCACUCACAGAAUGGUAUCUCUGCCUGCCUCGGGUUGGCCCUGUGAUUUAUUUUAGUUCUUUUCCCUUGUUUUUUUUUUUUUUUUUUCACACUCUACACACUCUUGUUUUAAAAACUGUGGUUUCUCAUGAGCCCUAUUAUCUCAUUGAUACCUCUCACCUCUGUGGUGAGGGGAAGAAAUCAUAUUUUCAGAUGACUCGUAAAGGGCAAAGAAAAAAACCCAAAAUUUCAAAAUUUCCGUUUAAGUCUCAUAAUCAAGAAAAGGAGAAACACAGAGAGAGAGAGAGAAAAAACUAUGAGAACCCCCCCCACCCCGUGAUUAUCAGCGUACACACUCAUCGAAAAAAAA